CGGGACACGUGGUAUCCUGUCUGAAUAUGGGGGGACCAUCCUCCAAGGCUAAAUACUCCUGACUGACCGAUAGUGAACCAGUACCGUGAGGGAAAGGCGAAAAGAACCCCGGCGAGGGGAGUGAAAAAGAACCUGAAACCGUGUACGUACAAGCAGUGGGAGCACGCUUCGGCGUGUGACUGCGUACCUUUUGUAUAAUGGGUCAGCGACUUAUAUUCUGUAGCAAGGUUAACCGAAUAGGGGAGCCGAAGGGAAACCGAGUCUUAACUGGGCGUUAAGUUGCAGGGUAUAGACCCGAAACCCGGUGAUCUAGCCAUGGGCAGGUUGAAGGUUGGGUAACACUAACUGGAGGACCGAACCGACUAAUGUUGAAAAAUUAGCGGAUGACUUGUGGCUGGGGGUGAAAGGCCAAUCAAACCGGGAGAUAGCUGGUUCUCCCCGAAAGCUAUUUAGGUAGCGCCUCGUGAAUUCAUCUCCGGGGGUAGAGCACUGUUUCGGCAAGGGGGUCAUCCCGACUUACCAACCCGAUGCAAACUGCGA
rnacentral:rRNA from 1 species